GAGCUAGCAUGGUGUAGUGGUCUGAGUAUUAGACUACGACUCUGGAGACUAGGGUUCAAAUCCCCACUAGGCCA
rnacentral:tRNA from 1 species